rnacentral:lncRNA from 1 species
AAGAAGAAAAAAAUCAUUUAUUUAAAAACACUGACUUUUUUUACACGUAUAAUACGCGUGUUAUACAAGUGUUGGACACCGAUGUGUGACGUAGACACCGCGACAAACCUAUUUUUAGAAGUGUGUGCUUCAUAGAGAAUAAGUUCCUGAUUGAUAUGCAAUGGAUUAGGAGAGCAUAUUACCUGUCAUUCCAUCUCUCCUCCCAUUAUAAAAAGAAGUCCAACUACUUUUUUAAAUAAUCAACUCACGCCCACACAGAUUCACACCUCAAAUAAAAUAAAAAAGCACCAUCAUUUUCUUCUGGACUUGCAACACCAGCAAGCAACCAUUAUCCAUUGCACUUCCACAUUUCAAAUCCUCAAGAAUUACAUCACUUAUAAAGAUAUGGAAUCCAACCUAACCUUUUAGGCUUUUACAAGGUCCCACAUUCCACUACAAAUACUAAAAACCCCAUUAUCAAAGCCCUUACAUCAUGUUCAACUAACCUCCAUACUUUUUUAUACAAAAAGGAAAAGCAUAUCAAAUGAACUUUGACAAGUUUUUUCCUUUUACAAUAAAUUUUCUAAAGACAAAAUAGGCUCUGCUUGCAUUUUAAGGUAUUGACAUUAAACCCUGUUGUAUUGACAAAAGCUGAAACAACAGCAAAAAAGAAACGACUAUGGCAUCCUACUUUGAAUGCAACUUGAUGCAAAUCAAUGACUAAAAUUAAGGAGAUUAGGAACAUGCAAAUAAAUGGUGAGUCCCGAAGUAGUAUGUGUGCGCUUGAUGGGACCACUGGAUAUUACCGAAGGUAUGUCUAUGGAGGAGGAGUAGUUUCGGGCUUAACUAUACUUGAGUUGUCUGAGGGUUGUGACUGGUAUAUUGCUGAUGCCAGUGAGAUUGGCAUGAUGCAGAGUGCCUUUGAUUGAAGGAACUGCAUCGCAGCACCAACAUUUUCUUCCAUGAGCUUAACUACUUGCUUUUCUGUGCCAUCAUUAGACCACUUCUCCCAAGCUGGUUGGUUUCUCCCGCUCUCAGUUCCUUCUUCCUGAUCAUCAAAUAAUAGAUUUGAUAAAUUGUUUGGAGAGAGGGAUAGAAUUAUGUCAAUUACAAAGUUUGAAUAAUUACCUCGACUGACGAUAAUGGGAUGUCAGUUACUAGUGGUGCCACCGCACCGGCUCCACCCAAUCUACUCAUGCUCAAAACCUGAAAGAUUAAUGAAUCAACAAUUAUUGGAAAUUUUCAGCACUCUUAGUUUCAUGUUGCUGACAAAACUAUACAUUUGGAUCCAAUGGAAAACCUUGAUUUCAAUUUCAUACACAAACAGCAAUAUGCAUGUACUCCCUACACAUCUCUAGAGAAAUCAAUGAAACUGUUAAACUUUUUUGUUGAAAACUAGAAAUUGGUUUUACUAUUCACACAUCGAAAAUUUGACUUGCUAUUGGUGAAAGACAAGAAGACCCUUGGAUAGUUGGGUGUUAUUGGGUAGUUAAAGUAGCAACAACGCAAAAUAGCAUUAACAUGGUAUCAUUUGAUUGUAUUUAGAUAUACACCAUUCUUUUGGAAUGAAAUCCAAUGGCUAAUGGGUCCCAUAUCAAAGUGGCACCUCAGGCUCAUAAUUACCAGUUGAACCCCCAAGAAAUGAUGAUAACUUGGGAUGAGAGGUCAAAAGACAUAGAUAAACACUAAACGGGUUUAACAGAAUAAGCAACAAAUCCCACCCAAGAUAAAUUUAAUUAUAAAUUUAGACCUAACAAGGAUAGAAAUCAAAUGUGCAAUCCAUGCCAAUCACAAAAGCACUAACCUUCACUUGAAGCCUUAAGAAUUUGACAUAAUCUACAAUUUCAUCCAGCAUGGCAGCUCGAUCUGUCUGAAUGAAGCACAAAUACACAUAGUAUUAGAAACAAUGAAAAGAUUAUGCAGAAGACCAAGAAAAAGUCAUCAGACCAAAACUAAAUCAUAAAAAAAUCUCUAUAUCUCAAAAUCCAGAAGACUCAUUUCAUACUUUAGAACUCUAAAUUUUUUGCAUAUGCCUAAUCAGAAUAUAUGCUGAUUUUGUCCUGAUUUUUUUAACCUAUUGAUAGGAUUGUUUCCCAGACUAAUUGUAAUAAACAAGAAACUAUUUACCGGCAAAACAGAAAACAUGUGAGAUAUGACUAUUUGGAGGACUUAUAUUUAAGGGCACAAGUUCAACCUAAAAGUGAUUUGAGCAUUAAAUAUUUCUUGAUGUACAUGUCAUUUUUCAAACUCAAACACAGUUAGAAUGAAUUUCAUCCUUCAAGUGGAAACAGACACAACCAGCGUCAUUGCAGAUCUAUAGAUCGUUAUGUUCAGACCAAAUAUGCAAUGAACAAUAUCUACCAAGAUUCUAUCAAAUAACAGAUGCCUAACAACUAGACAAAUCAGUCAAAUCACCCCUAAAGCUCCAUUUUCAGCACUGUUUUUGUUUCAGGCAAUAAUUAACAAGCUGUACCAAAUGUUGGGUGGGUGGCCGAUUUAUCUUUUUCUCACUUUAGAGUAAAUAUGAAAAGGUUCAUCCUUACCUAAUUGCACAAGUUCUAUAGACAAGUACAAACAGUACAUAUACAACAACAACCAAGACUUAUCCCACUAAGUAGGAUCGGCUACAUGGAUCAACUUUCGCCAUAAUGUUUUAUCCAGAACCAUCUUUCUAUCCAAAUCGUUAAUCUCGAGAUCUUAAUAACUUUUCUUAUAGUUGCAGUAAAAAAAAUCACGUAGAAGUCACAUACCUUGUUGACACUAGGAACAAGUUCUUGCAAAGCCCUGAUUCUUUCGGCUAUUCUUUCUCUACGCAACUGUUAUUGAAUGGCAAAAAGAAGAGUAAAGAAACAUCAACAUAUCAAGAUAUUAGCAAUGUGAUUUAAUCCUCAUUCAACAUUAAGCAUUAUUAACAAGCAGAAAAUCCAUAUUUUAGAAAAGAUCCUAGAGCCAACCCUUUCAGCAAUGCUGUGUGGAUCUGUAGCCUGUCCUCUUCUUGCCCGCACUCUAGGACGCAUUGCUGGUGGAUGUGGAGCAGUAGGAACUGUAGUCGGCAUGGGCUGCCCAUGAAAAGUCUGAAAAAACUUAAAAUAAAAUUAAGACAGAAAAAAGGAAAAGACGAACGGAAAGAAGCAUAAUAUAAGGUACUACCAAUUGAACUGCAUAAAUGAUCAACCCUUCACCAAGGACUAACGGAAAGAAGCAUAACGAAACUUGCACACUGUCUAUUACAUUUAUAACAAACAAAACCACAUAACAAGGUUUUAAAUAAAGCCCUGCAACCGAACCACAGUCGGGGCCGCAAAAUAACAGUUUUUGAUAUUGUUGAAACUACAAUGCAACUGCGUUUGAGGCUACAUCAGCCGUAUUCAACCGCGACUCUCAAACUUAGAUAAACAGUAAUACACAAUUCCUCACCAAAAUGAAGCUAAACUUAAAUAGAUGAUCACAAAUUCACAAUCACCAAAACUUAAAACAUUAUUGAAAAUAAAAUAGUUUCAUAAAAGUUUAACUAAUGCAAUUGAAUUAAUAGGAAGAGAAAAAUAAAUUGAAAUGAAAAAGGUUAUGCUAUGUUACAUUCUUAGGUCUGGUAUCAACAACAUCUUCCCGGAAUCGUUUGCCACUCCCGGAAGCAUCAUCGGGCUUCAAGAACCCUCCCGUACCCUGGUCCAAGCUCAGGCCCAAAUGGUAGACCGGUGCAUGAAAUCCCGCUCCGGCAGCAAGAUGAGUAGCAGCGUCGCCGGAGUUAAGCUGCAUCAUCAUCGGAGAAGCUAAUGAAGAGGCGUCGGUUCCGUCGGCGGAGGUGAAAUUCGGGAGGCCGAGAAUUUGCUCCAGGAAAUCAUCGGCGGGAGUAUCGGAAGGAUGAUUCGACAUGACUCGGUUCAACUCGGUUGAGUUUGGAAAACGAGUUGAGAUAAUGGUACUUUACUUUUGGUAUAGAGAGAAAAUAGAGUUUUAGUAAUCUACUACUAGAUGAAGUAGACAAGAUAAUUUUUCAGUUUUUUUUUAUAGUUUUUUGGGGUUUGUUUGGUUAAUUAUUGUUAUGUGUGCUGUUGUUGCUUUUUCAGCUUAUUUUCUACUCUUUCUCAUUUGAAAAUGGUGUUUGAGAGUUCAUACUCUCAAGACAAGAGGGGAUUUGGAUUUAUUUUUUCCAGGGUUAAAU